rnacentral:rRNA from 1 species
UAUGCACGCUGGCGGCGUGCCUAAUACAUGCAAGUCGAGCGAACGGACGAGGAGCUUGCUUCUCUGAUGUUAGCGGCGGACGGGUGAGUAACACGUGGAUAACCUACCUAUAAGACUGGGAUAACUUCGGGAAACCGGAGCUAAUACCGGAUAAUAUUUUGAACCGCAUGGUUCAAAAGUGAAAGACGGUUUUGCUGUCACUUAUAGAUGGAUCCGCGCUGCAUUAGCUAGUUGGUAAGGUAACGGCUUACCAAGGCAACGAUGCAUAGCCGACCUGAGAGGGUGAUCGGCCACACUGGAACUGAGACACGGUCCAGACUCCUACGGGAGGCAGCAGUAGGGAAUCUUCCGCAAUGGGCGAAAGCCUGACGGAGCAACGCCGCGUGAGUGAUGAAGGUCUUCGGAUCGUAAAACUCUGUUAUUAGGGAAGAACAUAUGUGUAAGUAACUAUGCACAUCUUGACGGUACCUAAUCAGAAAGCCACGGCUAACUACGUG